rnacentral:rRNA from 1 species
AACGCUAGCUACAGGCUUAACACAUGCAAGUCGAGGGGCAGCAUGGUCUUAGCUUGCUAAGGCCGAUGGCGACCGGCGCACGGGUGAGUAACACGUAUCCAACCUGCCGUCUACUCUUGGACAGCCUUCUGAAAGGAAGAUUAAUACAAGAUGGCAUCAUGAGUCCGCAUGUUCACAUGAUUAAAGGUAUUCCGGUAGACGAUGGGGAUGCGUUCCAUUAGAUAGUAGGCGGGGUAACGGCCCACCUAGUCUUCGAUGGAUAGGGGUUCUGAGAGGAAGGUCCCCCACAUUGGAACUGAGACACGGUCCAAACUCCUACGGGAGGCAGCAGUGAGGAAUAUUGGUCAAUGGGCGAGAGCCUGAACCAGCCAAGUAGCGUGAAGGAUGACUGCCCUAUGGGUUGUAAACUUCUUUUAUAAAGGAAUAAAGUCGGGUAUGGAUACCCGUUUGCAUGUACUUUAUGAAUAGGGAUCAGCUAACUCCGUGCCAGCAGCCGCGGUAAUACGGAGGAUCCGAGCGUUAUCCGGAUUUAUUGGGUUUAAAGGGAGCGUAGAUGGGCUGUUAAGUCAGUUGUGAAAGUUUGCGGCUCAACCGUAAAAUUGCAAUUGAUACUGGCAGUCUUGAGUACAGUUGAGGUAGGCGGAAUUCGUGGUGUAGCGGUGAAAUGCUUAGAUAUCACGAAGAACUCCGAUUG